rnacentral:misc_RNA from 1 species
AAGUCGUAAUAAGGUUUCCGUAGGUGAACCUGCGGAAUGAUCAUUAACACGUAUCCAAACGUUAAAACAACCCUGUGAACCUUCAGCGUGUUCUUGCAGGACAUCAAAACAGCAAUCCCGAGUAAAUCAGGCGCUAAAGAAUUACAGAUUUUGAUUUUGGGAAGUUCUGUGUGUACGUGGACGCUGCAAUUGAGUGCUAGAUAAAGCACCCUGGUACCCUCUGUCUGAAAGCGUCAGGGCUCAAUGUUCAGGGUGGCGCAGUCAACGAUCGCUGUAGGCGUGGAGGCGAAAGCCCCUACGUCAUCCCUAUGUACCCUCCGUCAUAAAUCGAACAACUGUUAACAAUGGAUAUCUUGGUUCUC